AGCCAGNUGUACGGAUCCGUAGAAUGANGAUUGUCUAACUCUGUCCCAGNACAUGCGGUAAUGGGGAGGAUCCAAGCGUUAUCNGGAAUCAUGGGUUUAAAGGGUCCGUAGGCGGGUUUAUAAGUCAGUGGUGAUAUCUGGCAGCUCACGUGUGGACUUGCCAUGGAUGAUGUAGAUCUUGAUUUAUUGUGAAGUAAGUAGAAUAUGUAGUGUAGCGGUGAAAUGCUUAGAGAUUGCAUGGAAUACCAAUUGUGAAGGCAGGUUACUACCAAUCGAUUUCGUNUAAUGGAGGAAAGCGAGGGUAGCGAACAGGAUUAGAUACCUGGUUAGUCCACUCUGUAAACGAUGGAUACUAGCUGUUUGGCAGCAAUGAUGAGUGGCUAAGUAAAAGUGAUAAGUAUCCCCAAUGGGGAGUACGACACGCAAGUUUGAAACUCAAAGGAAUUGACGGGGGCCCGCACAAGCGGUGGAGCAUGUGGUUUAAUUCGAUGAUACGCGAGGAACCUUCCCAGGGCUUAAAUGUAGUGGGACAGGCUUGGAAACAGCCCAUUCUUCGGAUUCAUUCCAAGGUGCUGCAUGGUCGUGGUCAGUUCGUGCCGUGAGGCGUCAGGUUAAGUCUUAUACCGAGCGCAACCCCUGUUGUUAGUUGCCAGCGAGUCAAGUCGGGAACUCUAACAAGUCUGCCGGUGCAACCCGUGAGGAAGGUGGGGAUGACGUCAAAUCAUCACGGCCCUUUCGUCCUGGGCUACACACGUGCUACAAUGCCCGGUACAGAGAGCAGCCACUGGGUGACCAGGAGCGAAUCUAUAAAACCGGUCACAGUUCGGAUUGGAGUCUGCAACCCGACUCCAUGAAGCUGGAAUCGCUAGUAAUCGGAUAUCAGCCAUGAUCCGGUGAAUACGUUCCCGGGCCUUGUACACACCGCCCGUCAAGCCAUG
rnacentral:rRNA from 1 species